AUUGAACGCUGGCGGCAGGCCUAACACAUGCAAGUCGAGCGGAUGAGAGGAGCUUGCUUCUCGAUUCAGCGGCGGACGGGUGAGUAAUGCCUAGGAAUCUGCCUGGUAGUGGGGGACAACGUUUCGAAAGGAACGCUAAUACCGCAUACGUCCUACGGGAGAAAGCAGGGGACCUUCGGGCCUUGCGCUAUCAGAUGAGCCUAGGUCGGAUUAGCUAGUUGGUGAGGUAAUGGCUCACCAAGGCGACGAUCCGUAACUGGUCUGAGAGGAUGAUCAGUCACACUGGAACUGAGACACGGUCCAGACUCCUACGGGAGGCAGAAGUGGGGAAUAUUGGACAAUGGGCGAAAGCCUGAUCCAGCCAUGCCGCGUGUAUGAAGAAGGUCUUCGGAUUGUAAAGCACUUUAAGUUGGGAGGAAGGGUUGUAGAUUAAUACUCUGCAAUUUUGACGUUACCGACAGAAUAAGCACCGGCUAACUCUGUGCCAGCAGCCGCCGUAAUAC
rnacentral:rRNA from 1 species